UGCGUAGGUGGCAUAGAAAGUUUGAUGUGAAAGCUCAGGGCUUAACCCUGAAAUGGCAUUGAAUACUGCUGUGCUGGAGGUUUGGAGGGGGGGACGUGGAAUUCUUGGUGUAGCAGUGAAAUGCGUAGAUAUCAAGAGGAACACCAGUGGCGAAGGCGAGUCCCUGGACAACACCUGACACUGAGGCACGAAAGCUAGGGGAGCAAACA
rnacentral:rRNA from 1 species